UUGAGAAAGCGAGCGCCUCUUCGAUUGAUUCGGAGAACGAUGCCUCAUCGAUUUUUGAGAAAGCAAUCAUGAUGGGGGUCUGGCUCUCGAGAUUCGGGGAGCAGUGUCUCUUCGAUUUUUGAGAAAGUAAUCAUGUUGGGAGUCUGGCUCUCGAGAUUCGGAGGGCGGUGCCUCUUCGAUUUUGGAGCAAGCAAUCUUGUUGGGAGUGUUUUCUCGAAUGUGAGUAAAGGUUUGGCAUGUUUGCUAGUCUACCUUGCCACGAAGCACAGAGGUUGACACACAGGGACUUUCCAAUUAUCCAGCAAUGGUACUGUUCCUUUACCCUCUCUUCGAUUUUUAAGAAAGUAGUCAUGUUGGGAGUCUGGCUCUCGAGAUUCGGAGGACGGUGCCUCUUCGAUUUUGGAGCAAGCAAUCUUAUUGGGAGUGUUUUCUCGAAUGUGAGUAAAGGUUGGGCAUGUUUGCU
rnacentral:lncRNA from 1 species